GAAUGAAUUCAUGUCUAAACAAAUCAUACAGACUUAGUUGAUUGUGGCUGUGGUCGUGCUGUGGUUUUUCCAUAAUCAAAUGAUUUAUGUUCAUAACAGUUCGAAGUGAGUAACUCCACUACCUGUUAUGUUGAUCCAAAUUCAAUUUUUCCUUUAUUCUUAAAAUUCUAGUGAUUUUGAUAACUUUGAAGUUUAAUCUUUGAUAACUGAUUUCAGUUCAUUUUUAUGCUUCAGUUUUACUAAUCCUGAGUCUCAUGUAGGGGUUACUAACUUCACUGAUUUACAUUUUUAGUGCUCUUUGACACUUACAUAUCUAUCUUUUUUAUAGACUUUUACUACGGUAAUUAAGUUUUGAAAACUUUAUGAUUAACUUGGUUAAUUUACCUUAAUGGGCUACAACCAAUUUUCGCCCUUCAUUUUGAUAAAGAAUUUAAUUAGUGCAGUGAUUUCUCCCAUACCAGUAUAGGGUUUUAUUAAUUUCAUUCUUUUUGCAUCACUGUUUCCAUUACACGUAGGUAUUGCAUGCAUUUCUUCACUUAAAAUGGUAAUUCACAUAAUUGCUUCACCUCAAACAUGCAGGUACUCAUAGUGCCAGGUUUAUUUUUGUUUGUUGAUUUGCAUCAGACGCAAUCUUCGUGUGUCUACCCUCACGUGCUGUGUCUGCUCCUCUCCUCUCCUGAGCUUCACCAUUGGUCUUCGCUACCUGGGGCACCUCUGUGCUUCGCUGACCUGAUGCUGCCUACUGCCUGGAGCUCUGGUUCGUGGUUCUGGAUGUCCUGAUCCUGCUGCGCUGAAGGGUCGCCUGAAAGUCACCGGUGACCUGAUCCUGCCGGCUGGUCGUCCUUCUACAUCCUGCUCUGCGCUGAUAUCAUCCUGACUUCACCGGCGUGGGGAAUGCUUCCUCACUCCUUCUGCCUUCAUCUGGAACAUCGCAUCAGCCUUUGCUCAGAGUCCUUCAUAUCUCUGAUUGUUCAACGUCAGGUGGUUUCUGACCAAAAAGCUCUGCGUGGCAUGAGAGUCCCAGAGGAUCGAGACGGCCACUCAAAGCCUCCACUAAGCUGUUCUGUCACUCCUAUAGAAUUGCUCCAAUAAACGCCACCUGCAACCAGCUGAUGCAAACUCCUUCAGAGUAAAUUUAAGAUGCAAACUCAACACCUGUGUACCAACGGCAACUCUUGGACCAAAGAGUCGGUACCACUCGGGUCUUCCCUACCGGACUGAGUACCCAGAGGCUGACAACAUCCUCCCUUGACCUCCGGAUCCACACAGAGGGUCGUCUGUUCAGUGAGGGAAAACACAGAUUGCGUCCGUAUGCUGUUCUCUUUAAGAAAUAGCUUAGUUAACUGCAAAACAAACUCUUUCACCCAGAAUGUGUUUCUCUCUCUGAAAGAAACCUGAGAUUCCAUUCACACAUCCAACACACGCAUUUCAUUUUAGUCCUCAUCCAGACACAGGUUGCUUUUAAUACCAAGUUUUAAUAUCAAAGUUUUAUAAAUUGUCAUUUUUGAAUUGUCUUUUAAAUUGUCAUCUUUAAAUUGUUAGUAAUAAAUUCUUAACUUUUUAAA